UCCCUGGUGGUCUAGUGGUUAAGACUCCAAGCUAUCAAUGCAGGGGGUCCAGGUUCAAUCCCUGGCUUGGGAA
rnacentral:tRNA from 1 species